GCAACUGUACAGUAUUAGACGCUUGAUAGGCAGACCACGUACGCCUCCUCCUUCCCACACACUACUCAGAGCAUGGGUUUCACAGCCUCAGAGGCAUCUGCGCCGCCACACCUGCUAUCGGAUAAUGCGGAAAAGCACUUCGCUGCGGACAUCUACGCCUUGCAUCACCGUCUCGGUCGAUGUGUGAAGCAAGUAGAGCUGUUAAUGUCAUCCUCGACAGGAGGCUCUUCUCCAUCCCAUCACAAAGGUGGCCGUGCCAGUACUUCUUGCGUUCGGCGUCUCGGGGAGCUUCUUCGCGAAGCCAGACGGCUCGAGAAACGUGUCGCAGAGGCACCGCUCACUAAGACUGGAAACACGCAAGAGACGGCGGAGCCAGCAGACGACGAUGUGACUUCUCCCCUGCGGGCGUACUAUCGGCAAGAGCUGCCAGGGCGUCUCACCCACCUUCUGCAGGAUGCCGACGCUGCACAGCGGCUUCUGGCGCAGUAUCUCUCGCAAACCCCCACACUUGCGCAUCUCCCUGUCAGUUGUGUGGGCACUGCCCCUCGUACGCUCGAGUGCGGCCUCACCGCUGUCGCUGCGACCUCCUUCAGUAGGAAGUGCCACAUCUACGUGGAUGUUGUGCCGCCUCAUGCAGCGUGCAUUCCGCCGGCUGCCGUGCACUUCAUCGAAGGCGCCUCUCCUGCUGGAGCUGACGUGCAGGACUCGUCACUGGUGCGAGGGAGCGUAGCCCAGACGAAAGAGGAACCCGGUUUCAGGGAGAGAAGAACCAGCGCUGCGGCGUCCUUUGCGGGGUAUCCGUUCGGCACGUCCUCUGCUGUCGGUGCCGCCAUCACCGCAGAGGACCGCAUCAUGGAGGACAUUCAGCAAGCCAUUCACCAGAUGAAAGACGGCGCUCUGCAGAUGAGCGCGCUGAUGGAGCAGGAGAAGGCGAAGAUGAAGUCCGCCGCCGACCUUUUGUCGGAUGGCGUGGCCAAGGGUCAGGCCCACAUGCACGAACUCGAUCGCGUCUCCUAUGUGGCCGAGGCGGCGCGUGUUCCGUGGACGCUAAGGUUCGUGCCGGGCAUGCCCAUCCUGUGGCGCACGGUGCUACAGCCAAUGUGGGCCUUUCUCAAGCAAGUGCUUGUGAUGGCGUCCAUCAUCGCGGUGACGGGCUGCGUGUUGCUGCUCAUUAGCGUUGUGCCAAAGCCGACGGUGUAUCGCAGACAUCGGCUCUGCACCCACGACAGCCGCGCAUCUCCUCCCCAAAGCACUGUCGCCUCGGCGACUGGGCCAGUGACCACUGCCGCGCCGCCUCUUUCAGAGGUGCAUGUCUCGCCGCCAGCACCUUACGAGGCAGAAGAGCCCGUGGCGAUGGACUCCCCAGCCCCAGCAGAAACUGUGCAAGAGGUUUCGCCGCCGUCGUCUCAUGAGGAGAACCUUACCGCUGAGUUUCGGGAUGACUUGUGAGCCUCAAAGGCGUCACAAGGACGGCUGUUUACAUUGGGCUUGGUGGCGGUGCCUACCUGUACACGUGUGCACAUGCAUACGAGAGGCAACGAGUCGAUGACGCUCCUCUCCACGGCAGCGUAGCUCAAGAACAAAGAAAACGCCAUACUAAUAAUGAAGGCGUCCCUCGCUCUCUCCCUUGUUAGGCGAAGAUG
rnacentral:misc_RNA from 1 species